AUUGAACGCUGGCGGCAGGCCUAACACAUGCAAGUCGAGCGGCAGCGGGAAAGUAGCUUGCUACUUUUGCCGGCGAGCGGCGGACGGGUGAGUAAUGCCUGGGGAUCUGCCCAGUCGAGGGGGAUAACUACUGGAAACGGUAGCUAAUACCGCAUACGCCCUACGGGGGAAAGCAGGGGACCUUCGGGCCUUGCGCGAUUGGAUGAACCCAGGUGGGAUUAGCUAGUUGGUGAGGUAAUGGCUCACCAAGGCGACGAUCCCUAGCUGGUCUGAGAGGAUGAUCAGCCACACUGGAACUGAGACACGGUCCAGACUCCUACGGGAGGCAGUAGUGGGGAAUAUUGCACAAUGGGGGAAACCCUGAUGCAGCCAUGCCGCGUGUGUGAAGAAGGCCUUCGGGUUGUAAAGCACUUUCAGCGAGGAGGAAAGGUUGGUAGCUAAUAACUGCCAGCUGUGACGUUACUCGCAGAAGAAGCACCGGCUAACUCCGUGCCAGCCGCCGCUGUAAAAC
rnacentral:rRNA from 1 species